CCUGUGCAUUCUGGGAUGGGGGAGAGCUAGACCAGGAUAGAGCCCUCUGGCUUGGUUUAGUGGGGCCAGUUCUCUGGUCUCAGAGGUGAGGCUGUCCCUGUGCCAGAGCUUGGCUUACCUGGCCUGUCAGGGUUUAAGAAGCAAGCGGAGAAGGCACCACUGAAUUCAGAGACCGCUGUGGCUGCGUGUGCUGUUCUUAGGAUGGCUUGGGUCACCACACUGCUGGUUCUGGUAGCCUGUUGGGCAGGUUCCAGCUACCAGUUAACUUUGACUCAGCCACUCGCUAUGUCAGUGACACCAGGAGAAACUGUCCAACUCGCAUGUGUUCUGAGCAGUGAAGUCAGCAUCAGCGGUAGCUACAUAUGCUGGUACCAGCAGAAGUAAGGGGAGAAACCAAGAUACCUGCAGUAUAUUACAAGGAUGACUCUACCCAGUAUAAAGACUCUGGUGUCCCUGACAGGUUCACUGCCUCUAAAGACACUUCCAGGAACACCUGCUUUUUAACGAUCAGCAGGGCUCAAGCAGAGGACGAUGCUGAUUACUAUUGCACAGACUGGGAUGGCCCAGCUAACCAGUACACAGUGAUACUGCUGCAUGGAGAAGAGGAACAAAACCCCCUCUCACCC